rnacentral:ncRNA from 2 species
UCCAAGUUUCAGGGAAGGUGAAAUUCCUUACUGGCGGUAGCUGAGUCACGUCACUCAGGAGCCCGCGACCCGCGCAAGCGGUGGAUGUCGGUGAGAAUCCGAAGCCAACGGUCACAGUCCGGAUGGAAGAAACGAGGC